GCUCUGGUGGCUUAGUGGUUAAAGCGUCCGCCUCGGAUGCGGGAGUUCGCAGAUUCGAACUCCUGCCGAGUCAUACA